rnacentral:rRNA from 1 species
AAGGUUAACCGUAUAGGGGAGCCGUAGGGAAACCGAGUCUUAACCGGGCGUUAAGUUGCAGGGUAUAGACCCGAAACCCGGUGAUCUAGCCAUGGGCAGGUUGAAGGUUGGGUAACACUAACUGGAGGACCGAACCGACUAAUGUUGAAAAAUUAGCGGAUGACCUGUGGCUGGGGGUGAAAGGCCAAUCAAACCGGGAGAUAGCUGGUUCUCCCCGAAAGCUAUUUAGGUAGCGCCUCGUGAAUUCAUCUCCGGGGGUAGAGCACUGUUUCGGCUAGGGGGCCAUCCCGGCUUACCAACCCGAUGCAAACUGCGAAUACCGGAGAAUGUUAUCACGGGAGACACACGGCGGGUGCUAACGUCCGUCGUGAAGAGGGAAACAACCCAGACCGCCAGCUAAGGUCCCAAAGUCAUGGUUAAGUGGGAAACGAUGUGGGAAGGCCCAGACAGCCAGGAUGUUGGCUUAGAAGCAGCCAUCAUUUAAAGAAAGCGUAAUAGCUCACUGGUCGAGUCGGCCUGCGCGGAAGAUGUAACGGGGCUAAACCAUGCACCGAAGCUGCGGCAGCGAACGUAUCACCCAAGACAACUUUACGGAGUUGACGAUUGACGGAGC